GAUGAACGCUGGCGGCGUGCCUAAUACAUGCAAGUAGAACGCUGAAGGAGGAGCUUGCUCGUCUGGAUGAGUUGCGAACGGGUGAGUAACGCGUAGGUAACCUGCCUUGUAGCGGGGGAUAACUAUUGGAAACUAUAGCUAAUACCGCAUGACAACAGUUAUUGCAUGAUAACGGUUUAAAAGUUUCAACGGCUCCGCUACCAGAUGGACCUGCGUUGUUUUAGCUAGGUGGGGAGGUUACGGCUCACCAAGGGGGGAAUACGUAUACGACCUGAGAGGGGGAUAGGCGGCACUGGGACGGAGACAGGGCCCAGACGACUAAGGGAGGCAGCAGUAGGGAAUCGUGGGCAAUAGAGGGAAGUCUUGCCGAGUAAGGCCGAGUGAGUGACGACGGUUUUCGGAUCGUAAAGAACGGCUGUAAGAGAAGAACGAGUGUGGGAGUGGAAAGUUCACUCUGUGACGGUAUCUUAACAGAAAGGGACGGCUAACUACGUG
rnacentral:rRNA from 1 species